rnacentral:rRNA from 1 species
GACGAACGCUGGCGGCGUGCCUAAUACAUGCAAGUAGAACGCUGAAGGAGGAGCUUGCUUCUCCGGAUGAGUUGCGAACGGGUGAGUAACGCGUAGGUAACCUGCCUGGUAGCGGGGGAUAACUCUUGGAAACGAUAGCUAAUACCGCAUAAGAGUAGAUGUCGCAUGACAUUUGCUUAAAAGGUGCAACUGCACCACUACCAGAUGGACCUGCGUUGUAUUAGCUAGUUGGUGAGGUAACGGCUCACCACGGCAACGAUACAUAGCCGACAGGAGAGGAUGAUCGGCCACACUGGGACUGAGACCCGGCCCAGACUCCUACGGGGGGCAGCAGUAGGGAAUCGUCGGGAAUGGACGGAAGGCUGACCGAGCAACGCCGCGUGAGUGAAGAAGGUUUUCGGAUCGUAAAGAUCUGUUGUAAGAGAAGAACGAGGGUGAGAGUGGAAAGUUCACACUGUGACGGUAACUGACCAGAAAGGGACGGCUAACUACGUG